AUACGGAGGGUGCAAGCGUUAUCCGGAAUCAUUGGGUUUAAAGGGUCCGUAGGCGGACUAUUAAGUCAGAGGUGAAAUCCCACAGCUCAACUGUGGAACUGCCUUUGAUACUGGUAGUCUUGAGUUAUAUGGAAGUAGAUAGAAUGUGUAGUGUAGCGGUGAAAUGCAUAGAUAUUACACAGAAUACCAAUUGCGAAGGCAGAUCACUAACACUAUAUUGACGCUAAGGGACGAAAGCGUGGGGAGCGAACAGGAUUAGAUACCCCAGUAGUCC
rnacentral:rRNA from 1 species